UUCACCUGUCUAUAGUCAGCAGCCAAGAAGGAGGUUUCUCAGGUAGAAAUUGCUCAGAAUUACCCAUCCAGGCCUUGCCGCAAUGACUGGGCAUGGUGGGACUGAGAGCUUUGUUCUGUGCAAGCAGUUAAUAAAACUCUUGCUAUAAACAGGGUGUGCUGGCUGGAGGUGCUCCGUGCUGGGAACAGACUGCUGUGAGACACUUGAGGACCUUCACUGUCACAGCUGGAUGGGGCAGCACGUGCAAGAGAGAAAGGGCCUGCUACAGCAUUCAGUGAACACUGUAUUAACAGCACAAUAAGAUUUACUAUACUUCAUGACUUUUUUCACUAAUUAUUAAUACUCAAUUAAUAUGGCCCCGAGCAGAAUGUACUCCCAAGUAAAGAAAGUAACUUAUGGCCUGCUUUACAGGUGACAUGUAAAUACUUUGUUACAUGAAGUACUGCAUUUCUAUGGGAGCACUGGCACACUCAAGUGAGCAAACACAACACUACAGAGGAAAUCAAGCACUUUUAGCCCAGCCUAAGCACUCUUUGUUACCAGCCUGGAGCCACCUGAAAGUAAAGCAACAUUGUUAAUGAAAAAAUAUGAGGAAAUGAAAAUGAUUCCAACAUGCUUUUUUAAACUCAAUGUUUCUCUUAUUUCUAUACAACUUCUGCUUCAUGCAGCUCGAAUACAGCAUUAGAGAGACCCCGGCCUUACUCCAAAAUGCUCCUAAGUUUCAGUCAUUGAAGAGCAGGCCCAGGAUAAGCACUUGAUAGCAAAAGGGAGAAAAAUGCUUGAUUAAUCCAUACAGGUUGAGUUAACAAGACAACCUCUCGGAACUGCAAUUGUCAGUAAAAGUGAUUUUCACAUUAGCAACCCAAAACAAAUGACAUGGACAGAGCUAACCAGAUGAGGCAGAUCUGUGUAAAAACAGCAAACUUUACUUUCUACUUCCUACCAAACUUUUUCCUAGUAAACACAAUUCAACAGUGUGCCUCAUCAAAAAUCCUGUGAAUCUUGACACACAGUGAGGUUGUGUUGCCAAAUAUAUUAAAAGUCUUGAAAAAUCUCUCAUGGCUUUUUAAUUAAACUCUAUAUGUGAGAGGCAAGAGAUUCCUUGCUUUUAUUGUCUACAUGCGCUCAUCAGUGAUGGAAGCUCUGUGCAAAAUCUGUAUGCUGGUACUCCCAUGGUAUGGAGUAUGGAAAUUUCUUCUGAAAGAAGAAAACAAUGAUGCUGAGAAGAAUGCAUUUCUCUGUUCUUACAACAGUACUACGUAUGUAAAUACACAUAAAAGCACAAUACAGCUCUGAGUGUAUAAAAGACUAGUAGCCAGGGUUACUCUUUAGAAAUUAUGAGGAAUUUUUAUUACAAAGAACUAGCAGCAAAUUAUUAAAACAAUUAAAUACUUUUGAGAAUAAUUAGUUUCUUUAGGCAGUAACAGAAGGAGGUUCUGAAAUGCUGUAACAGAAGCUGGACAAACAGAAAAAGUUUCUGCAAAGUUUAUGUAUUAUGUUGUAACUCCACUUGCCAAAAACAUGAUCUGAAUCAGG